rnacentral:lncRNA from 1 species
GGCAUUUUUGCAGCCAGGCAUUGGGGCUGCAUAAAUGGUUUCUUAAAAAUCCUUUCCCAAAAGGCAAAGCUGGUUUGCUGGAAUUGUUGGGGAAUGUAUUAGAAUGGGAAUUCAGAAUGUGGUUUGCUGCAGAAUUUACAGCAUGGCAAUAAAGGCUCUCUGUGUUCAGGGGGUGAGAGAAGAGACUAGAUGCAUUGUGUCAGAUGUCUCCCGACUUCCUGAGAAAUGCCACUUUGCAAAUACUGGGGCUGCUUUUCACACUGGCCAAGUCAGUUUAUGACAAAAACAUGAGGCAAUUAGGUGUGUUUUGGACACUAACCAGAGAAAGUCCUUCCUUCCCUCCCUUCCUCCCUCCCUCCUUCCCUCCCUCUCUCCCUUCCUGCCUUCCUUCCUUCCCCCUUCCCUCCCUCCCUUUCUCCCUCCCUAAGCUCCCUCCCUGCCUCUCUUUUUCUCUCUCAUGUUACUUUCUCUUUCUGUCUUCCUUUUUAAUGCCAUGGAGUACUAUAUUCUUCAAAGUUCCAACAAAGAUGCACUACAUUUGGACAAUGUGGAAAUGGCCCUCAGCCUUCUCUUCCUGAUGUGCCAAUUCCACUGAUCCUGUGAAGGCUGCCCAAUUUGAGCCACCUGGACGUCAAAUGAUUGCCAUCAGAAAGAGACAACCUGAAGAAACCAACAAUGACUAUGAAACAGCUGACGGCGGCUACAUGACUCUGAACCCCAGGGCACCUACUGACGAUGAUAAAAACAUCUACCUGACUCUUCCUCCCAACGACCAUGUCAACAGUAAUAACUAAAGAGUAACGUUAUGCCAUGUGGUCACACUCUCAGCUUGCUGAGUGGAUGACAAAAAGAGGGGAAUUGUUAAAGGAAAAUUUAAAUGGAGACUGGAAAAAUUCCUGAGCAAACAAAACCACCUGGCCCUUAGAAAUAGCUUUAACUUUGCUUAAACUACAAACACAAGCAAAACUUCACGGGGUCAUACUACAUACAAGCAUAAGCAAAACUUAACUUGGAUGAUUUCUGGUAAAUGCUUAUGUUAGAAAUAAGACAACCCCAGCCAAUCACAAGCAGCCUACUAACAUAUAAUUAGGUGACUAGGGACUUUCUAAGAAGAUACCUACCCCCAAAAAACAAUUAUGUAAUUGAAAACCCAUCGAUUGCCUUUAUUUUGCUUCCACAUUUUCCCAAUAAAUACUUGCCUGUGACAUUUUGCCACUGGAACACUAAACUUCA